rnacentral:rRNA from 1 species
UACGUAGGGUGCAAGCGUUGUCCGGAAUUAUUGGGCGUAAAGAGCUCGUAGGCGGUCUGUCGCGUCGGCUGUGAAAUCCCGAGGCUCAACCUCGGGUCUGCAGUCGAUACGGGCAAACUGGAGUGUUGCAGGGGAGACUGGAAUUCCUGGUGUAGCGGUGAAAUGCGCAGAUAUCAGGAGGAACACCGGUGGCGAAGGCGGCUUGCUGGGCCUUACCUGACGCUGGAGGAGCGAAAGCGUGGGGAGCAAACAGG